UACGUAGGCAGCGAGCGUUGUUCGGAGUUACUGGGCGUAAAGAGCGCGCAGGCGGUCGUGCAAGUCGCGUGUGAAAGCCCCCGGCUCAACUGGGGAGGGUCACGCGAUACUGCUCGACUCGAAGGCAGGAGAGGGAAGUGGAAUUCCCGGUGUAGUGGUGAAAUGCGUAGAUAUCGGGAGGAACACCAGUGGCGAAGGCGACUUCCUGGCCUGUUCUUGACGCUGAGGCGCGAAAGCUAGGGUAGCAAACGGGG
rnacentral:rRNA from 1 species